rnacentral:rRNA from 1 species
AUUGAACGCUGGCGGCAUGCUUUACACAUGCAAGUCGAACGGUAACAGGCCUUCGGGUGCUGACGAGUGGCGAACGGGUGAGUAAUGCAUCGGAACGUACCCAGAGGUGGGGGAUAACGCAGCGAAAGCUGUGCUAAUACUGCAUGUGAUCUGAGGAUGAAAGCGGGGGACCGAGCAGCAAUGUUUGGCCUCGCGCCUUUGGAGCGGCCGAUGUCGGAUUAGCAAGUUGGUGGGGUAAAGGCCUACCAAGGCGACGAUCCGUAGCUGGUCUGAGAGGACGACCAGCCACACUGGGACUGAGACACGGCCCAGACUCCUACGGGAGGCAGCAGUGGGGAAUUUUGGACAAUGGGCGCAAGCCUGAUCCAGCAAUGCCGCGUGCGGGAAGAAGGCCUUCGGGUUGUAAACCGCUUUUGGCAGGAACGAAACGGUGUCCGCUAAUACCGGGCGCUAAUGACGGUACCUGCAGAAUAAGCACCGGCUAACUACGUG